ACCUGGGGAACUGAAAUAUCUAAGUACCCAGAGGAAAGGACAUCAACCGAGACUCCGUUAGUAGUGACGAGCGAACGCGGACCAGGCCAGUGGCUUGAUAGAAGAUAACCAGAAGCGUCUGGAAAGGCGCGCCAUAGUGGGUGAUAGCCCCGUAUGGGUAAUGCUUUCUUCAAGUCCUUGAGUAGGGCGGGACACGUGAAAUCCUGUCUGAACAUGGGGGGACCACCCUCCAAGCCUAAGUACUCCUCAACGACCGAUAGCGAACCAGUACCGUGAGGGAAAGGUGAAAAGCACCCCGAUGAGGGGAGUGAAAUAGACCUGAAACCGAAUGCCUACAAUCAGUCGGAGCCACAUUAAGUGGUGACGGCGUACCUUUUGUAUAAUGGGUCAGCGAGUUACUUUGACGAGCAAGCCUGAGCCGUUAGGCGUAAGCGAAGCGAAAGCGAGUCUGAAUAGGGCGUUUAGUUCGUUUGAGUAGACCCGAAACCGGGUGAUCUAGCCAUGGGCAGGUUGAAGGUACGGUAACACGUACUGAAGGACCGAACCCACGUCUGUUGAAAAAGACGGGGAUGACCUGUGGCUAGGGGUGAAAGGCCAAUCAAACCCGGAGAUAGCUGGUUCUCUGCGAAAACUAUUUAGGUAGUGCGUCGUGUAUUACCGUCGGGGGUAGAGCACUGGAUGGGCUAGGGGGGCGCGAGCCUUACCAAACCUAACCAAACUCCGAAUACCGGCGAGUACAGCACGGCAGACAGACUAUGG
rnacentral:rRNA from 1 species